GUAUGUGCAUGUGGCUACCCGAUCCGUCCCGGAAACACGAUUUGUUCCGCGCAUGCGCGACACUGACGCCACUUCCGGUUAAUCCAGUUUUCACGACAGUCGACUCGAUCCGUUCAGGGGUUGCUCGAUUUGUACUGCGCAUGUGCAAAAGCGCAUCACGACACUUGUCCUGCGGAUGUGCUCGAUUAGAUAUUUGGUGAUGAGUAUAUGUGAUAGCAGUAUGGACUCUUUUGCAUUUGAUGAACAAUUUAAAUAUUAUCUCUUAAAAGGAGAAAUUUCUGACAGCCCUACAGAGCGUCGGAAGGUAAAACGGGCGUCUACGAAUGAGACCCUCAAAGAUGACAGACUCUUCUACACGGGCCCUAGCAGAGCAGGCAGUACAUACGGCUAGUUGUCCUGUCAGAGGAAGAGAAAACAUCUGAUUUUACAGAGUGCCACAAUAACCCAGGACCUGUCAAUCACAGCGGUGUCAGAAGCACUCAAAACAGGGUUAUCGCUGGCUACUAUUGGUCCACAAUAAUCAACGACGUGAAAGAAUGGGUGAGAAAUUGUCACUGCUGCCAGCUGAAUGACCCCAUCAAACUGUUGUGCCAGUCUUGCAUGCCAUUAAGGUAAAAGAAGUUUGGGAGGUGCUUGGUUUAGAUUGAUUGGACCACUACCAGAAACAGAACGCAGCAACAAGUAUGUCCGUACCAUGACUGACCUGGACACCAAAUCGGAAAUGCUUGCCUCAAGAUUGUAGAAGAAGCUGCACAACAACAUUUACUGUGUACUAUUGUGGCCCGGUUUCACAGACAAGGCUUAGCUUACACGAGGACUAGGGCUUAGUUAAUUAUCUGCAUGCUGAUGUAUGCACCUGCACAUCGUGUCCAUUAACAUUCACAGAGACACCUGAUGUUAGUCCAAACCAUUGCAGUCUAUCUGUCCUUCCGGUUUUCUUCCCACCUUUUCGAUUUCAACAUGGCAGCGGAGUGAAAUCUAUUGCAUGUGCAGCAGCCAGCCAUUGUCAGAGACCUACAUUCAGCACAGGGACAAUCAACAAAAUGUCAUCAGAAAGGUCCUGAGGGGUCCAAGGUCGAAGGAUGACUUUUUGUUUGUAUUUCAGUAUCAAGAAGACAUGGAAACAUUUUUUGGCAUACUGUAUUGAUAAACACGGCCUAAAGGGAGGGAGGGAGGGAUGGAGUGAGUGAGUGAAUGAAUGACUAAAGAAAAGAAUUGGAACAA